GAACGCCGUAUGAGGUGAAAGUCUCACGUACGGUGUGAAAGAGGGGAAAAGAGAGGCUUAACGUAAAGACGAAGUCUGCUCUUACCUAUUCUUAU
rnacentral:ncRNA from 1 species